rnacentral:rRNA from 1 species
AUUGAACGCUGGCGGCAUGCUUUACACAUGCAAGUCGAACGGUAACAGGCCGCAAGGUGCUGACGAGUGGCGAACGGGUGAGUAAUGCAUCGGAACGUGCCCAGUCGUGGGGGAUAACGCAGCGAAAGCUGCGCUAAUACCGCAUACGAUCUAUGGAUGAAGGCGGGGGACCGUAAGGCCUCGCGCGAUUGGAGCGGCCGAUGUCAGAUUAGGUAGUUGGUGGGGUAAAGGCUCACCAAGCCAACGAUCUGUAGCUGGUCUGAGAGGACGACCAGCCACACUGGGACUGAGACACGGCCCAGACUCCUACGGGAGGCAGCAGUGGGGAAUUUUGGACAAUGGGCGCAAGCCUGAUCCAGCAAUGCCGCGUGCAGGGAGAAGGCCUUCGGGUUGUAAACUGCUUUUGUACGGAACGAAACGGCUCUCACUAAUACUGGGGGCUAAUGACGGUACCGUAAGAAUAAGCACCGGCUAACUACGUGCCAGCCGCCGCUGUAACAC